GAGGAAGGCGGGCGGCGUGCCUAAUACAUGCAAGUCGAGCGAACGGACGAGAAGCUUGCUUCUCUGAUGUUAGCGGCGGACGGGUGAGUAACACGUGGAUAACCUACCUAUAAGACUGGGAUAACUUCGGGAAACCGGAGCUAAUACCGGAUGAUAUUUUGAACCGCAUGGUUCAAAAGUGAAAGACGGUCUUGCUGUCACUUAUAGAUGGAUCCGCGCUGCAUUAGCUAGUUGGUAAGGUAACGGCUUACCAAGGCAACGAUGCAUAGCCGACCUGAGAGGGUGAUCGGCCACACUGGAACUGAGACACGGUCCAGACUCCUACGGGAGGCAGCAGUAGGGAAUCUUCCGCAAUGGGCGAAAGCCUGACGGAGCAACGCCGCGUGAGUGAUGAAGGUCUUCGGAUCGUAAAACUCUGUUAUUAGGGAAGAACAUAUGUGUAAGUAACUGUGCACAUCUUGACGGUACCUAAUCAGAAAGCCACGGCUAACUACGUG
rnacentral:rRNA from 1 species